UAAAGCGAUAAGGAAAAAUUGUGAUGUUCU
rnacentral:piRNA from 1 species